rnacentral:piRNA from 1 species
UAGAAUGGAUGCAGGCCU